CAGCCGCCACGGGAAAACGAAGGGGGCUAGCGUUGUUCGGAAUUACUGGGCGUAAAGCGCACGUAGGCGGACAUUUAAGUCAGGGGUGAAAUCCCGGGGCUCAACCCCGGAACUGCCUUUGAUACUGGGUGUCUUGAGUGUGGAAGAGGUCAGUGGAAUUGCGAGUGUAGAGGUGAAAUUCGUAGAUAUUCGCAGGAACACCAGUGGCGAAGGCGGCUGACUGGUCCACAACUGACGCUGAGGUGCGAAAGCGUGGGGAGCAAACAGGAUUAGAUACCCCGGUAGUCCCUGUCUCUUAUAC
rnacentral:rRNA from 1 species